CCUACGGGAGGCAGCAGUGGGGAAUAUUGGACAAUGGGGGCAACCCUGAUCCAGCCAUGCCGCGUGUGUGAAGAAGGCCCUCGGGUUGUAAAGCACUUUCAGUGAUGAAGAACGCCUGGUGGUUAAUACCCAUCAGGAAAGACAUCACUCACAGAAGAAGCACCGGCUAACUCCGUGCCAGCAGCCGCGGUAAUACGGAGGGUGCGAGCGUUAAUCGGAAUUACUGGGCGUAAAGCGCGCGUAGGUGGCUUGAUAAGCCGGUUGUGAAAGCCCCGGGCUCAACCUGGGAACGGCAUCCGGAACUGUCAAGCUAGAGUGCAGGAGAGGAAGGUAGAAUUCCCGGUGUAGCGGUGAAAUGCGUAGAGAUCGGGAGGAAUACCAAUGGCGAAGGCGGCAUUCUGGACUGACACUGACACUGAGGUGCGAAAGCGUGGGUAGCACUCAGGAUUAGAUACCCUAGUAGUA
rnacentral:rRNA from 1 species